UACGUAGGGCGCAAGCGUUGUCCGGAAUUAUUGGGCGUAAAGAGCUCGUAGGCGGCCUGUUGCGUCCGCUGUGAAAUCCCGGGGCUUAACCCCGGGCUUGCAGUGGAUACGGGCAGGCUGGAGGCAGGCAGGGGAGAACGGAAUUCCCGGUGUAGCGGUGAAAUGCGCAGAUAUUGGGAAGAACACCGGUGGCGAAGGCGGCUCACUGGCUCGUAACUGACGCUCAUGCACGACAGCGUGGGGAUCAAACAGG
rnacentral:rRNA from 1 species